AUACAACGUUAGGGGUGCUCCAGAUACGGAGCUGAGAUUACACCCUUGAACCUGAGAUGUUUAAUAACAGCGUAGGCAAACGGUAAAACUAAAUU
rnacentral:ncRNA from 2 species